CCUACGGGAGGCAGCAGUGAGGAAUAUUGGUCAAUGGGCGGAAGCCUGAACCAGCCAAGUAGCGUGCAGGAUGACGGCCCUACGGGUUGUAACCUGCUUUUAUACGGGAAUAACGCGCCUUACUUGUAGGGCUUUGCAUGUACCGUAUGAAUAAGGACCGGCUAAUUCUGUGCCAGCAGCCGCGGUAAUACGGAGGGUCCGGUCGUUAUCCGGAUUUAUUGGGUGUAAGGGGAGCGUAGGCGGCAAGACAAGCGUGCUGUGAAAUCUCCGGGCUCAACCCGGGCCUUGCAGCGCAAACUGGCGUGCUUGAGUCCGCGGAAAGCAGGCGGAAUUCGUCGUGUAGCGGUGAAAUGCUUAGAUAUGACGAAGAACCCCGAUUGCGAAGGCAGCUUGCUGCAGCGGAACUGACGCUGAUGCUCGAAAGCGCGGGUAUCGAACAGGAUUAGAUACCCUUGUAGUC
rnacentral:rRNA from 1 species